GCCGCGCCGAGGGGAGGCGGAAGCGCGCGCGCGCGUGUGGUGCCGCCGCUGCCCGGGGUGUGUGUGGGGCAGAGCCCAGCGCUGGCCCAGCCCGGGCUGCUGCUCCCCGAUCCCCGCCGCUGCCGAGUUACCGCUGGGGCAGCUGCCCACUGCCUUCCGCAGCUUCGGGCAUCCUGCGGGACGAACAGUAUUCCCUCUUCCCGAGCUGCCCCCGACUGCCGCGGGGAAGGAAGGCGGUGGUGGCGGCCCCGGGAGGGCAGCCCGGCUGUCGCUGGCCCGGGCUCCGAGCGCGGCGUCUCCUCUCCCUGCUGGGCUCUGAGCAGCGCCGUCUUUGAUUCUCCAGGAGGCUCAUCUCAAAGUAUAGCUUAGAAAAGCUUUGCGAAUAGUGGAAGAAAAUGUCACAUAAAAGCUCUAAGGUAAUCAAGAAAGUAAACGUUUCUAGCUCCUUGGAAUCUGAGGAUAUCAGCUUGGAAACCACAGUACCAACUGAUGAUGUUUCUUCCUCUGAAGAGAGAGAAGGUACUGUAAAAAUCACUAAGCAGCUGAUUGAACGGAAGGAGUUGCUCCAUAAUCUUCAGCUGCUUAAAAUAGAAUUAUCGCAAAAAAACUUGAUGAUUGACAACUUGAAAGUUGAAUAUUUGACCAAGAUUGAGGAGCUAGAGGAGAAGCUUAAUGAUGCAAUCCAUCAAAAGCAGCUGUUGUCUUUACGACUAGAUAGUCAGUUGGCAUUACAGCAAGAAGAUGCCAGGAAACAUCAGGCUCUAAUGAAGCAAGAAAUGGAAACUAUUUUAUUGAGACAGAAGCAACUGGAGGAAACAAAUUAUCAGUUGAGAGAGAGGGCAGGAGAUAUCCGCCGUAGCUUGAGAGACUUGGAAUUAACAGAUGAAUGCUAUGAGAAGCUAAAGUCUCUUCCUGAAGAUCAGCUUUCUAUCUCUGAAUAUGUUUCAGUCCGGUUCUAUGAAGUAGUCCGUUCCUUAAGAAGAGAGCUGAGUGAUCUGCAGACAAAAAGGGAGAGUCUGACAGAAGAACUAAGUGGGUACAGAUCCCAACUGAAGUGUCUGACAGAGAGCUAUGAAGACGAGAGGAGGAGUCGGUCAGAGCUUGAGGUCAGAUGCCAGCGUUUAACACUGGAACUGGCUGAUACCAAGCAGUUGAUUCAGCAAGGUGAUUACAAACAACAGAACUAUGAUAAAGUAAAAUGUGAACGUGAUGUAUUUGAGCAUGAAUUGUCAGAACUCAGAAGAAACUAUGAGAUACUGGAAGUUUCAUACAAAACACAAACUAAAGAAAGAAAUGACUUGGCAAAAGAGCUGGCAACCGUACAACAAUCCCUCAACUUGUUGCAAAAAGAUAAAGAUUAUCUCAAUCGCCAGAACAUGGAGCUUAGUGUUCGCUGUGCACACGAAGAAGAUCGUCUUGAAAGACUACAGAUUCAGCUAGAGGAUGCCAAAAAAGCUAGGGAAGAAAUGUAUGAAAAAUACGUUGCAUCCAGAGACCACUAUAAAGCAGAAUAUGAAAAGAGACUGCAUGAAGAGUUGGAACAAAUAAGGUUGAAAACAAAUCAAGAAAUUGAGCAGCUAAGAAGCACCUCAAAAGAGAUGUAUGAACGUGAAAACAGAAAUUUGAGAGAAGCACGAGAUAAUGCUGUUGCAGAAAAAGAGAGAGCAGUUACUGCUGAAAAGGAAUCUUUAAGAAAAUAUGAUCAACUCUUAGAACAGUAUAGACAAAUGCAGCUUGGCACAGAAAGCAAAGUUGCUGAACUUCUUCACCAGAGUAAGUUAAAGUCCUUUGAAACUGAACAUGUUCAACUCAUGCAACAAGAAACAGCUAAGAAUCUUUCACAAUGCCAAAUGGAAUGUGAGAAAUACCAGAGAAAGCUGGAGGUGCUUACUAAGGAAUUUUAUAGUCUUCAGUCUUCUAGUGAAACCCGCAUUAUUGAGCUUCAAACACAGAAUUCUGAAUUUCAAGCAAGACUAGAUACUUAUGAAAAACUUGAAAAGGAGCUUGAUGAGAUAAUACUGCAGACAGCAGAAAUGGAAGAUGAAGUUGAAGCUGAAAGGGUUCUCUUCUCAUAUGGAUAUGGUGCUAAUGUUCCUACAACAGCCAAAAGACGAUUAAAGCAAAGUGUUCACUUGGCAAGAAGAUUACUGCAGCUAGAAAAGCAAAACUCGUUGCUUGUGAAAGAUCUGGAACAUCAGAAGGAACAAGUAACACAGAUUUCACAAGAGCUUGACAGAGCAAAUUCUUUGCUGAACCAAGCACAACAGCCAUACAAAUACCUCAUUGAAACUGUGCAACAGAGAGAUUCUCAAAUAAGUCUACAGAAAGAACAUAUUACACAACUUGAAAAAGAUUUCAGUCUUUUAAAUAAAGAAAAGACAGCUUUGCUGCGUGUCAAGAAUCAAAUGGCAGCAGAUUUGGAGAGACUUCUAAAUGACCGUGAGGUAAUCUUCCUCUUUUAGCAUUACUACCUUAAGUGCACUUUUUUGCUACUGGCUCUCAAACCAUGGAGAAAAGAAUGGUUUACUUUGGUUUGAUUUUUUGGGGUUUUCUUGUCUGUGUCGUUUUCAGCAACACAGGUGACCAUGUCUGUCGGGUACUGGGGAGGUUCUCUGUUGUACUCUCAGUUGUUAAAUUUUCUCUGAUAAUUUAUUGUCUCUGUUCUUUCAUUUCCUUUGCCUUGAACAGUGUUUGGCGAUUGCAAGCAUUUAACAGGAAUCUAGAUAAACACAGUGAAAUUGAUACACAUGUAAUCUGCAAGGUCUGCAUUUGCCACAGUAUGCCUCAGGGAUCUCUCUGUGCUGCCCAGUCCUUGCAGGCAAACAUUGGACGAAAGCACUGUUCAAUUCAUUUCCCAUACACUCUUUUGAAUCCCUUUUCAACUCCAAAAUAGGGGUUAGGGAGAGGAAACAAGACAAUAGUUACACAGGUUUCUGAGAAGAGUCUGGGUACUCUUUUGUGUACUUACCUGAGUUUCAUCUGAGCAAGAAUCGGGGUGCUACUGGACUGGAUUAUACUCUCAGAUCUAAAAGUAUUAAAAAUUGUGCCAUUUAGGGAAUCCUAAAGGCUCUUGUCAAGAUUUUUAUCUGAACAAUCUUAAGAGACUAAUAUGUCAUGGCAUAGGAGAGAAAAUCUGCAAAUUAAAUGACUGAAACAAAGGAUGAAAAUAAAUGAAGUUUACUGCAGGAAUCUGAGGAUGUGAAUAAUACAACAGAAUUUUCUGAAGCUAAAGAGUACUGAAGAUAUAAAACCAAAAGCUGACCUAAGCAGCUAUUAAAUCUUCUCCCAGAGUUGCUGAAUAAUUUGGCAAGGAUUUGCAGAAAAAAUACAACAUUAACAAAUCAGGAAUGAGGAAAAACAGUACAAAUUAUAGAUACAGAGUGAUGGGACCUCGCUACCCACUUACCUAUUCAGAAAGUGUUCAUAGAGACAUAUCAAUAGUUUUCUGACAACAUCUUUCUUUUCUCUUACUGGUAAGAGAAAAGAUGGAAAGAUUCCUUUCAAAGAAGCUACAACUCCCCUAAAUUAUCCUGUCAGAGUUUGGAUUAUCACUCAUUUUAAAACAUUAUUUUCAUGGAAAACUGACUAUCCACUUCCUGAAGUCUCAUUCCACCUCCAAAAUUCUUUUCCUUCAUCUCCUUUUCAUACUGUUCAUCACAUUCCCUUCUUAGAUCAGUAAACCAAAAUCCAUGUCAUUAAUUGGUCCAAACUAGUUUGUCUCUCCCAAGCACUUAAAAAACUCCUUUUUGUUAGACCCAAAACAAAACAGUUUUGCUGGCAGCUGAGUCCAAGUGAGCCUCAAUUUAAAUGAAAACUACUAAUUCUCUUUGCCGAGUUCCAAACCAAACUAAUCUAAGAUUUAAACAUUUCUAAAUAGUUUAUAAACCUUACCAUUAUAUUCAUGCUUUAUCAUAUUCUUAUAUUAAUGGUAUGAAAAAUACUCUGAGGAAACAUGAUGUAAUUGUAUAAACAUGUAGUGUUUUUUCCAUUAUUAUAGGUCCUUGGCCUAAUUUCAAAUAAAUUUCUUUCAAAAUUUCCUGUUCCUAGUCUUUCUUUCCCAGCCAGCGGUGCUGCCAACUAGUUGUGUUCACAAAGCAAUCACACUUGGGUGCCUAGAUUUAGUAGUGUCAUAUCAAUAAGCAUGCAUUGCAGCUGAUUAAAAGCAGUAGAAAGUGAUAAAAGAAAAUUUUUGCCAUGUUUUCUGAGAAAACUAUAGCAUUUCUAACUGAAAGCUAUGCAACAUUUUUUACAUCCAAACUAUAUUAGCCCCUGUAAGUACCCUCAUAAACUAUUCCUGAUAUGCAGCAGUUUGCUUCUUUGUGUCAUUUCAUCAUUCCAAAUUUUAAACUCUGUCAAAUGAUCUAGGAAGGCUGGUGGAGGAAGGCUUGAUUGAAAAAGAAAAGCAAAUACUUGAGUCUGAAACAGACUUCUUCGAUGUUUCUCAUACCCUGAAUGUUAAGAAAUUGAUCAAAUAUUUCCAAAAUCAGUACUGUUUUCUGAAAUUUCUUUUUAUAUUUGUUAAAAAUAGGACAUAUUAGUCAUACUGGUUUUGUCAAACUGUGAUAAUGUUUUUUAAAGAUACCUCUGCAGAAAAGUAUAUGAAUAAAAAAUAUGAAAAAGAAACAUUAGAAGUUGCAUGUUUGAGGGAAGAAAACUAUGAAAUGCCAAUACAAUGCACAAAAAAAAUCUCCUGAGAAACAAAAUAUUAGCUAAAAUUCUUUCAGGAAAAUGUUUGAAAAGAACAGGUAGCUUUUGUGCUUGUGUGUAAGUUUAAUUUUUGUCAAUUCUGUUUAUUCCUAAUGCAGCCUUUUAUUUUUUACUUCUAAUGCAAACUUCUUCCAGUAGUUUUACACUUUAUGAAUUUCUCCAAAAGGCGGUUAUCUCAGGUAUUGAAAUCUUUGUACAGGAUAGUGAGUUAGUCUUUGACUAUACUUCUUUGCCAUCCUAAUAAAAGAUUUAAAUUUGCAGUAACAUCACAAUUUUCCAGUAAUUAUCCUUGCUGACAGAAAUAAAGAAUACAAAUUUUCUCACUUUGGGUUAGUAAAGGGUUAACUGCAUUUAAACAGAUUGCAAUUUUAAAUAAAACUGACAGGCAACCUGUAAAUACAGACUCAUACACUUUGAAAAAAAAAAAGUGAAUUAUGGGUUUAUGUGUUUGGUACGUGCUGUCAUGUAACAGGGUUACUAUCAGCCUUGUUCAGUCAUUGCACAUACUAAACUGUCAUGUCUUGUUAGGAAUUACCUUGUUGCUCUCAUGUUUGCAAGUAGAAACAUUAGAAUUCUUGAAUAGAUAAACUGAAGAUAUUCAUAGUUAAGAUAAAAUGAAGUUUAGGUAUGUUGCUAAAAGUACAAGCAAAAUGCCAAAAUGAUGUUAAUGCUGUCUUCCAGCAACGUGUUUCAAUAGGUGCACAGUUUUGACUUAAGGUAUUCUAGCCUGUGUGGUCUCAGACUGUAUUAACUCUUUUUAAUGGAAUGCUAGAGUUUGAGGGGUUGGAAGGUUUUUUAAUUUUUAUCUCUUUGUGAUAUCAGCUACAUUCAUAAUGCUUCUUUGGAGACUAUUAUAGCAUUUUAUACACUUUUUAAAUAAAGAACUUACAUUCAUGAUUAAUCUUCUCUUUUCACAGAUUUUAAUUUUAGAAGAAGAAAGUUGAAAGUUAUACUUUGAACCUUGGAAGAAUUUCUGUAGGAUUCUUACAUGAGCUCUUUUAUUACAGGAAAAAAUUACACUAAAUGUUAAUGUCAUAAAAUAGUUCAUUAUUUCAAAUUAUAUAGACAUCUAAUUUGAUGAUGAGUCUUAUAUUUUGCUGUGGGACAUCAAAGUGAAAAAUAGUUAUUUCAUUAUGUAAAACCUUAAAAGCUUCUGUCCACCCAUGAAGGAGAAAAAAGGAAGGUUGGGGUUUUAUUCAGACUACAUUGUUGGCCCAAAUUCUGAAUUGUUUCUUGGCCUGCUACUUCCUUUUCUGUCUGAAUUAAUUAGUAAAUGAAUGUGGAAAACAGUUUAAUCUAUUUUUUCAUUUAGAUCACUGAGAAUCAGCUGGUAAGAUAAAAUUUCUUGCAUUCUUCAUGUCAUUAAAUGCAAACUUCCCUAUUAGAGGGAGUUCAGUGGCAUUAUCGUAAAUGAGCAAUAUCUAGGAUGAUGUUGAGAUCAUGUUGGAGGUGCAUAAUAAAGCCUUCCCAGUGCCCCUUGUCUUCUCUGAGCUCUCAGAAGUGUCUGGGGUGCAUAGUAUUUGGAUGCCAUUUGUACACCCCUUAGUGCAAGACAGCAAGUUAAUGCAGCCACAUUUUUCAGUUGAUUUUAAAAUAAGAUAUUUUCUAUGUUUUGUCAAGGUAUUAUUUUUUAAUUUUUUUUCUAGAUCCAUCAGAAUCAGAAAAGCAUAAAACAUUGUUUGGAGGAACAAUGUGGUCUCCCAUAAUCUUCCAGUAAAUAGUGUGGGUUUUUUUUUUUUGUUUUUUUUUGAAAAAGGGAUAUUUCAGACCUGCAGAAUAAGAUUUUUUUGUAUUAUUAUUUGUAGUGUCCAUUCUCAUUUUAAUCACCAUCUGAACCAAUCAGUGAGAAGCUGAACUUCACAGUGUUGCCACUCUUAACUCAAAUAACCAAACCACACCAACACCACCUUGUAGUUUUGAUUCUUCCCACUAACUAAUUAACUGCAUGACCUGGCCCCAUCUUUGGAACUUAUUGCCCACGUGUCUUUGUAUAGUCAGGGAAGAACGAGUAAGAAAGAUGUUCCUUCAAAGAAUAAAUCCAGAUUAAAUUAUACAUCAUGCCUGAGUUGACCCAAUAGCUAUAACACUACCUUACCCCUUUGCUCCUGAUUCUCCUCCUCCCUCCUCCUGUUCCACCAGCUCUGAUACACUUCUCAUGUUGCAGUAGGACCAUUCAAAUCACUAAACAGAAACCUAACCUGGCGAAAAAAACCCUACAAAAGUGUAUUGCUGUCUGUUAAGUUAGCAGUUUGAAUGAUCUUUGGAAAGAGUCCAGAAAAAAAAAAAAAAAAAAAAAAAAAGUAAAAAAAUGUAUAUGUCAAUAUUACUUACCUGUGAUAAAGAGGGCAUUUUGUGUCCAAAACUGUAUAGAACACCAGCUUGUGUGCCAUCCUUUAUCUGCAUCCAAACAUUAUUCUUUUGUGCAUAUAAGGGGCAUCUAUAACUUAAAGGCACUGAAAAUGCAGUUCUCGGUUAAGUGCUAAAGUUAAGUGGCAUGAAUCCACUAAAUCUUUUUGGUGAAGCUCUUGAUAUGUGAUUCCUUUUAUCUAGUUAGUUGGUUUGGGGUUUUUUUUCUUUCCAACAGUCAGUCUUUGACUAAAAGGAAUAUUUACCAUGAUCUCUGUGAUCCUGGCAAUUCCAUUGCCUUUCAUGCUUGAUGCAGUUGUUAGCAUCUUGUAACAUCAGAAGUGCAAUUCUAGACUUUAUCCAUUGGCUUUCAAACUUCAGAUGAAAACUUGGAAGGGCAGUCUGUCAGCACUCAGAUGUUUGGCAAGAAGUUUUAGUAAUAAUUUCCUGAGGUUACAUUUAAGAGGUUAUAAAUUUGCUAUGCUUUGAUGUAUAGCAUUGUACUAUUUCUUCAGAAAUUUAAGAUGCAGAUGUGUCAUAAUAAAGAAAACUAAUAAUGUGCACAAUUAAAUCUCUUUUAGCUUUUCCAAUUCAAACAGUGUAGAAACCGAGUUCUAAAAUCUUGAAAAUUAACUAGCUGGGGUUUGUAUUUUUAAUGUGAAGUUCAUAAUCCCUUGGGGUUUGGGAAAAAAAAAAAAAAAAAAGCAGAGCAAGUAGAAUAAAUGGAGUUCUUUUUAUGUUUCAAAUACUGUCGGAGAUCUUAAAACAAAAAAAGAGACAGUGGUAUAAGAGACACCAGUAGAAGACUUUAAUAGGUGUUUCUUCAAGUCCUAAGAUCAGUUCAAGUCCUAAGAUCAGUUUCUGUUUGUAUGAAUAUAAAGGACUUCAUUUACACUAUUUUUUAACUGCUUGAAAUCACCAGUAUGUGAUGCAGUCUGGCAACGCAGUAAUUUUUAACCUAAAAAAGUAAAACUAAUACUAUAAAAUCAUUUUCAUAAGAAAUAGAAUGGUAAUAUUUAUUAUAUAAAUGCUGCAAAUCCAGGCUGUUUACAAUAACCAUUAAUUUCCUGCAGUGCAAUUGUUUAUGCAGGCAUGAUUCAUUAUCAGCCCAUGAAUAUUAUACACCAGGUAAGAAGAUAUGACAACCUGCUGAUAUUUUGUCUGCUUUACACAUCUGUGCACUCACCCUACAUUAGCAGCUGUGCAUACAAGUGAUAGAAUGUAAACUUGCUGAACUAGUCACCUGCCUUAUUGACACAUUCAUGUGUUACCGUGCCAGAGCUCUUCAAGUGAAGUUAGCAACCAGAAACCAGGCUCUGGCUGUCUGCUAGGGGACAAAGUAGAAAACAUGUAGUAGUAGUUUAAAUAAACCUGGUUGAUAUCAAUCAGUUAAAUGGCUACAGACACAUGGAGUUUGAUUGCUAUUUGUUUACUUAAAUCCAUUUAGCUUAUGUCAGGAAAUUGUUGUGUCACUCAAACUGAGUAUUAAAUCUGUCUAAAUAUGUGUACCUGAAUUGGUAGGAAUCUUCAGCUCGAUUGGGUUCAAAUUUAUAUUGGUUAACUGUUGCAAACUCUUAUUCUAUUUAAACCAUAUUAAAGAAUAAAAAAUUCUUAGUGAGCUGUUCUCUCUGAAAAUAGUCUACCAGUUUAAUAUUAAAAUGCUAAUUGCCUGAGCACCUAUUGUGGUGAGCUUACGUUCCAGCUGGCAGGUGAGGAGCAUUCCACGUGUGAUGUGUAACUCACCAUUUACGAGUAAACCUAAUGCUUUUCCUUUAAAACCAUGUUACUCUUUCCUCUUCCCAGGUUUUCACAGUUUCUUAUCAAUAUGUCAAAACAAUCCUAUUUAUUAACUGAAUAUUUCUGUGGCCUUCACCACUGUAGCUGUAGCUGAACACCUGUCUCACAAAUAUUAUACCCUCAAGUUAAGCGCAAAACUAUUACUAUCCCUGUUUUGCAGAAGCAAUAAUCAAAAGAAAAGAAAUGGUGCUUUGUACAAAACUCCCGCAUUUAUGGAAGAGGUUAAGAGUUCAUGUGUCCUAAUGCAGUAUCUUACUCACAGCCAUUUCUUGUUUCUUACAUGUCUCUGUUCUAAAGCCUGAAAAGAAAAUCUCCUUAGUGUUUAUUUUUCCUAACUAGACACAAAUUAACUCUUUUCUCUAAGUCAUCUUCUUAUAUCGGAACUGAUUGUAUUUUGGAAGCAGUUUCACAAACAAUUACAUUUUCUCUUCGUAUCAUUCUGAGAAUUGACAUAUUUUUUUAAUCAGUGUCUACUGAAAAAGGCCACUUUCCAAUGCCCUGCCAGUCUCUUAAAGAUUAAAUCUUAAAAACUAAAUAUGUGAAUUAAAAGAAGUUUUUAUUUAAUCUGUAGGAUGGAUAUUUUAUAUUUUUUAUAUAGUAUUUUCUGGGAGAAAUAAAAAAGAGAAAUUGCACAACAGGCCAGACGUCUUAUGUGAGUGAGAUUAAAGGUCUAGUUUAUUUUGUUCUAGGAAACAGAGGAUAUGGUGGGAUGCAAGAAAAGGAGAUAAGCAUAAGGCAAUAUUGUGUAGUAAAAGUUAAGAACAGAAAACAGUUAUUUCAUUAUCUUUAAAAUGUUAAAAUCUGACUUAUUUUUUAGUGUUUGAUAAAUGGUUGCCAAAUGCAUUUUGCAAGUGUAUUUAAGAUUGGGGAGACUCCACGUGAUCAAGAGGAGAAGCAGUUACUAAUUAGUCAUAUUAGGAUAUGCAUAGUUUGUGAAGGGCUCUAAGUGUUUUUUCAGAGCAUCUAUAAAUUAUCAGGCUAAGGUUUCCAAGGAUUUACAUAAAUGCUUAUGAAUGUUAGAUUUGAAACAUGGCCACAUGAAUUUCAGAAUUCCAUGACAUUGUUCCAAAAUUUUAAUGUCCACAGUGUUUGAGAAUCCAGUAGUCUCUGUUCUUGCAUUCAUCUUGUGUCAGUAUCCUGCACAAAAUCCUGGUACUUCUCAAUAGUUAUCCUGUUUUUUUGCCCACAAGAGUGAAAGAAAAGUCAGAUGUUUUUAUUCUUUUUUCCUCUUUUGUGGAAAUGCAAGGUGCCCUGAAAUAUCUUUGCUUUACCUUAAUUUGACCAUUCUACUCUACAUUACCAGUUUGUCCUUCUUACUUUCGUAUUGCCUUUGCGGACUACCCCUCACUGCUAAAUUCUCUGUGCCCAGAUUUUAAUUCCAUCUCAGCAAUGACCUUGAGAAUUCCAGAUGAGUUUUCAGCAUUUCAUUAUUAGUCAUACUUUAAAGUCUGGCUGAUACUAUCCUUAGCUGUAAUUAAGUUAUGCCGAAGAAGAUUGACUAGGAAUAACCUAGGACAGAAAGCCAAUAUGUCGGAUUUAGGAACCUGGAGAGUAGCAACAGCUGCCAUCUGCAAAAAAACAGAGGUGGAGAGAAGUUCAGACGCUCAUAAAAAGCUUUGGAGUCGUAAGGGGGAGGGCAGUACGUGUUUAAUCAGGGAUGGAAGCUUAGUGGAUAAAAGGAGAAAACUGCUUUGUUGGGGAGAGGGGAAGGAAGGAGUAUCUGCAGGGGUUGGGAAGACACGAAUGAAAAGAUGUGAUUGGUAACAGGUGCCUUCAAACAAUCUCAAUCUCUGCCUCUUCCCCCUCUUUUCUGUGUAAAAAGAUUGUACAUGAUAAUGUCAAAAUUAUUUGUGUUUCUAAAGUGAGUGACUUCCUGCUCAUCUAUGUGCUGCAACUUGUUUUAUAUAAAAAAAUGCUGAUGUACAAUGCUUAGCUCUCUUUUUAAAUGUUAAGCCACAGAGUAAUUAUCAUUUUUCUUAUGCUACGUUUAUGUUCCAAGAUUCUAGUUUCUAUUAAUGUUCUGCAUGUUUUCUAAGUAGAUUACAGGAACAUUUCUGCAUCACAAGUAAGCCCCGGAGCUAUUCUCAGCUUUAAGCUUGGAGAAACAAAGUGACAUUUACAUAGCUAAACGAGUGUAGAGAAGCUUCUGGCUCAUUUUUUACAAAGAAAAAUAUGUUCCUAAGCAGUAGUUCUCAUCUUUUUGUUAUCUGUUUUGUUGCUGUCAAGCUUUAAUAAACAGUGAAUUCCAAAUAGUACUGAAUUUAGGAAGGACAGCACUGAUUCUUUUCUUUGAGCUGUAUUAUUCAUAAUGUGUUACUAUCUUUAAUAUAUAUUCUUGCAAGAAUUAUCUUUCAAUUCACAGUGGUAUACAGUAAGUAGUUGUGUGCUAAAUAGGAGGUUUCAUAGGCAAAAUGCAACAUAUAUUUAGAUUAUGGGAUGGAAUUGGCAUGUGUAUUUUAAAUUAUAUGGUUUUGACAGAGCUAGAAUCAAUAAAGGGAUAAACUUUUAAACAAGAAAUUGUUAAUUGUUGAUUAAUCUGAAAUUGUUCAGAUUUUCUCAACAUGUAUCCCAUGUUAUAUUCUUUUUUUCCUGGAUUGGCUGUGUAUAUUUCUGUGUCAUUCUACUGCAUAUCCAGCUGUGUAAAAUUUUUACUUUUGUACAUUUCAUGGUAGCAUUUGACUAUUACCAAGUGGAAAGUGAAUUUAAAUACUGUAAGAAAUAGCAAAGCCAGGGAGAACUAAACUAGAAUAUUACAAUUUAAGAGAAUACAGUAACUUUUACAUAAUAAUGUAUGAAAAUAAGGCUAUUUUAGCACAUUAGCAUGUUAGCAUCCAUUUCCUGUUAGGUGAACUUAUUGAAGAAAGCAUAUGAAUAAAUGAAUAUCACAAUGGCUCAGAUUAAAAAAAAGUAUUUGGAGAAUUAGUCCUAGUUACAAUUACAAAUAUAUUUCUUAUCAACAAUACAAAAGUGAAAGAACCUUAACAAUUUGACAUGCUAGUUCUGAAUUAUGAGACAAAUUAUUUCCUAUUUUUGUUAAUAAGUUAGAUAGAUUAAACUGUUAAGAACAAAUUUAAGAUACAGCUGAAAUAGGCUGAGAUUUUUAUGUAUCUAAAAAGACAGAAGCUGUUCUCUGCAGUGACUGGGACAUGUUAUUGCUGCCACAGUUCUAAUGCAUUCACCUUAUAAAACUGGAAGUAGUUUGUAGAACCAUAUAGUCACAGAUCUGUCAGUUCAUUUUAAGGUUUUUAUAUGGACUGGGAUAUAGAGAACUAGUGAAUUAAGUGUAAUGCAGAGAAGUUAUCAACAUCCUGCAUAUGGUCUGGCAUCUUUCCACCACCCAGUUAUCAGCUUCAUUUGUUUGAUCAGGACAUUUCAUACUGUCUUCCAGUUUCCAGCUUUACAGUGUGUAUCCAUAUGCCUUAGAUGACCAUAUGUGCAAUUCUCACACUGAAAUUCUUGCUGACUUCUUGUAUUUCCAGUACAGCUGCAAUUAGGAUGCAACUAUGUCAAAUACACUCUGCCUUACUUGAAGGAUUGAACAAUGACUUGUGAUGUAUUCUUGAUUUUUUAGGCAGUUGCUAAAAUCUUCUUUGAGCUCUGUUAUGGAUGUAUAUUCUACUCCUGAUAGGCACAAGCCUCAUAGUUGAAACUGAGUUUGCACCAGUUGUGCCACUGCUUCCUAUCCAUCUGCAGGCUUAAGUAAGGGAAUGGACUGGCUGACCAUUUGUUUCAUUUAGCUGUCAUGUUGAAAUGGCACUUCUGCAGUGUCUUCCUCCUGUUUCACAAUUUGUCAUCAUUAAUGUUACUGUCCAGUGUUGUGAAUUCGUGCUAAUGGUGUUGGUCUUUUUUCCACUUCCAGCCAAAAAAGGGGACUGAUCAUCCAUUCUAGGCUAUAGCCUAUCUUCUGCAGUAUGUCUCUAGCAGAAAUAAAACCCCUGAAGGACAGUUAUAAAAUAGUUCUUUGUGUGAAUUGUCAGCGCUUCUGAAGAGGAGACAUUGUAGAUACUACUUUUGCUUGAGAGUCUCAUUCCUUGAUAAUGACACGUAUGUCUACUUUCUCUAGUACACUCCAAAGUUUGAGUACCAUACUCAAACUUCAAAGUGCUGUAUGUAAGUCAUUGCAUAUGUUGAAAGGUUUAACCAGGUUUUGUUUCAGUCAUCUAGUCUGUUGUUGUGCAGAAAUAUAUUUAUGCCGAGAAUCCAUACAGUGAACUUUGUUUACCUCCAUUUUAACUGGUGAAUUCCAGUGCUGUCAAAGAUACUGCCAGUGUAAAGAUCAUCUGAGAAGUCAAUUGUCAAGUGGCAAAGUGAUAGAGAUUGAUCUUGCCUAAUAUAAAAAAUAUAUCAUGUAGGUAUCUACACCUGAAAAUCAUCUAGGGAUUUGCAGUCAGAAAAAAGAAGCAGGUACUAUUAUGGAGUGAUUUACCAUAAUCUCAUUUAAAAUAAGCAAAGUUAAUAUCACUUUUGAAUUUCUCACCAACAGCAUUAUAAUGGGAUCAGACAAGCUAGUUUGCCUAGGUUUAAAUAUUAUUACUGAAGAUAUCUAAAGGUGUAUGUGAGGAAAUCCAACCAAGUAUCCAGUCACAUGUUCCAAAGCCAAACUUCAGUCAGUUAUCACAUGUUCUAAAGCCACAAUGCAAUCAGAGGUCUCACAAAGAUCCCUAUCCACCUUAGUAUUAGCAAUUAAAUGACACAACUUUAUUUCAAUGUACCUUUACUUUCACAAAAGUUACAGUAGAAGUCUAAGAGGGAUCCAAGUAAGGAACUGCACAAGAUUUCAUAGAGGGCAGUAUCCUUAGUAUUUUCUCUACCAUCACCUGAUGUGCCCAUUAAUCUUGAUCCCAGUGAACACCUUGAGACAGUCAGCUGUGAAGAUGGUUCCUUCUGAACCACCCUGCCCUACCUUCUUCCAGAUUAAGAUAAUUUUCCCUCAAGGAGAAGAUAUUGGAAGUAUAAAGCUUUAUUUUUGUUUUUGAAUCCUCUCUUGAACUUUUGUAUAUUGAACAUGAACUUUUAAUUCUUCAGACACUGAGAAAUCAUUCCAGAAUAUGCUCUACAGAACACUUCCAAAUCGGUGUAACAUUCUUAAAUGCUGAUUUAAGUUUCUCAAAUCAAGGUUCUUUAACAAACCUGUAGCUUCAAUUUCUGACCUUUGUUUUUCCCUGUGCAGACUUGUUUGAAGACUACAAUAGCUGAAUAACUAAGAGGAAACAUGCAUGUGAAGACAGAUUGCACUGACUUGCCAUGAACAUGUUUUUCAUGCCAGUACAGCUAUGUUCCCUCACUUGUAUGUUCUAACAUAUUUAUUGUUUUUAUUGUUAAUGUUAUUUUAGAAGUUAAUGCAGCCAUAAUAGUCACCAGGCUGCUACAUUCCAAGCCACUAUUUGGCUUCCCCAUCACGAAGAGUCCAGUCUCUGGACUGAAGUUGUGGUGCACUAAAAGUCUUUUUGUGAAGCAGUUUUUUGUUCAAUCCCUUCCAUGCAUGGGGGGUGUACAGUCAAACUCCAGACUGGAUACAUAUUUUAUUUUGAGUUAUAGUUUAACCACAUGGGGACCAUAUGGCAGUUAAACUGAAGAAUACCAGCUUUCCAAAGGAGGUCCUGACCAUAUAUGCUUUGCUCUCACAGUACAGGAGACUUAAGGAUUGGGAGUGAGAAUACACGUCUAAGAUUGUCACGUUAGUGCUUGACACACAAAUUUUGAAAGACCUUAACUUUUGAUCAGCAUCCCUGGGGGAGGAGACCUCUAGUUUUAUCCCUCUUUCAUCUGAUUUUUCUGACUUUGCCAGUGAAUUUGGUUUUCUGUGCUAUUCCUUUAUGCUGUGUUCUUCUCUGGGAACACUUGUCAGUCAUCAAAAAUUCAGUGGUUCUGCCAGAACCUGAUACAUUUUCUAGGGCAGAAAUCCCUUGUUCAGCUAAUACGAGUUCUCUGCUUCAAAAUGGAGUUAAGGUGAAGUUUGCAAUUGUAAAUUCCAAGGUGAAGUUGUGCUAAGGUGAAGUUUGCAAUUGUAAAUUCUUAAAUAUAUGCAGUUGUAAAUUCCAUAUAGAAUUCCUAAAUUCUAUAUGCAGAGCUAAAAGUAGAAUGCCACUUGCCAUGAUAAAGGUUUGGUUAACUGGACAUUCUAUUAUCAGGAUCACUUUUGCUUUAGAGGACAUUUACCUGAGUACAGUGACUGUGAGUUUUACUGCAAGAGGAAAGAGUCAGAUGGAUCUGGUACCCACUGGCUGCUUCUAUGAUUUUUGUGAUAUGAAAAAGCCAUUCAAUUUACCAUUAGAACAAGCUACCUUGAGACCACAUAGGUAUAUAUCUCUUCCUGCUGAGAAGUUCCAACUGUCUGGUUUGAUCUGUGUAACACUUCUUUUCAGGAUCAUUGUAUGGAGAUUAUUUGAGGUGCAAGACUUCCCUGCCGUAAGAACCUAAGAAUUGACAUGUAUGUGAUUGAUUCCUGUUAGCCAGUUACUUCUUCUUGAGACUGUUAUUUUGUAUCUGCUUCCAGAGCAUGAUAGAUAGAUAGAUAGAUAGAUAGAUAGAUAGAUAGAUAGAUAGAUAGAUAGAUCUCAUUAACAGCUUAUAUAAAUUUACAUAGUUAUUAUAACUGUAUAUACACAUAUAUAAUGUUAAGUGCUAUUGCAAGCUUUUGAGUGCAUACAGAGGAUUCUUUCUUUCUUUGAUUAUAGUUACAUGACAAAGACAGAAAGAAAAAAAAAUUAUGCUGUUGACAAUUCACUGAAAAAAAAUGAAAUUACUAUCUUGAUACUAUACUUGAUUACAGUGCUUAAUGUAGGCAUUUGUUUCACAUACUUCAUCGGUUACAUGAUAAAAGAGCACCUUUUUAUGCCUCAGUCAUUUCCCAAGAGACAGUUCUUUUUCAUUUUGUUUUGAUGAUGUAAGUCGUGGUUUUGUUAUAAUACCUAAUAUUCUGUUAAUUUUGAAUUAGGAAGACAUAAGCUGCUCUUUUGGUGCAUGUAUGUUUGAGCAUGUAUCAAGGACAUCAAAACCAAUAUUAAUAGAGUUCCCUUUAUAGUAUCUGUAACUUGAAAUACAUUUGUAUUUUAUAUGGCUUCAUGCCUUAUUUUUGCAUUUGCUUAUCUUCUAGUUGCAUUGCUAGUUGAAUCAAAUUUUAUCCUUUGCAUUCCAAAAUUGAUCCAUUUUUCUAGGUACUAUUUUAAUUAUCCAUAAUUGACAGGUAAAAUCUAUUUUAAAUAAACUACAGCUUAUUUUUACUUCUAAUUUAAGCUCAAACAUCAUUAGAAAGUCUCUGAAUUUUCUGAAGUAUGAGUAGGUAAUACCCUUUUUUACCUUUUAAAAAUGACUUACACUUCUUCGGUUUGGUUCUUUUAACACUAUUUUAAAGGCUGAUGAUUUUCAGUUAGUUCCUCAAGACCAGUAUUUAGCCUAAUAAACUAGCAAGGUAGAAUUUGGGAAAUAUUGCAAACCAGAAAACAUUUUAAUUAAUGGACACUGUGGGAAAAAAGACUGCUGUCUAUCCUUUUUCUGUACCUUAGUAAAGAGUCAUAGAAACACUAAAGUUGGAAAAGACCUCUAAGAUCAUUGAGUCCAACCUUUAUAUCUCCUUCUCCGCUUGUAUAUUGGCACACAAAAUUGCUUUUGCUAUUUUUAACUAAGGUUGUUGGACAUAACUUACCAAAAAUAAAUGGAAAUGAGCAAGUAGCUUCUUCUGAUACUAUUUACAAUGCAAUACAUGUUACCUUACUUCACCUCCUGCUACAUCAUUCCCAGUGUUCUCAGUCCAUUCAUUCUAAUCAGUUACUUUGAAUUCCAACUCCUUUUCUGGUUUUGUAUGCAGAAUUUUCAAGUAUUCUUUUAUAGUUCAAGUAAUCUUUACUAAAUAUUAAUUAAUAUCCAUAAGUGGAAUACAGGAUGUUAGAUUGUCCUAAAGUAUGAAUCUCUGUAUGUUUUGGAAAACUCACCAAGUAGAUAAUCUGUGGCAUGAAAGCUUGUUCUAAAAUCACAGUUCCUUUUAAGAAAAUAAUUUGAUACUUCAAAUCUGUGUGCAAGGGGAAUUAUGAUUGCACACUCGCUAUUUAGGAUCAAAGUUGUUUUAGGCAAAGUAGAAGCCUGAGAAAAGUAAAUGAUAAGGAGAGUGAGGUGAGAAAUGGAUUCAGCUUAUCACAACUAAAUUUAGGUAUCAAAAUGAAGGUGUCUGUGGUGAGGUAUCUUUCUGUGCUUUAUAGUUAACAGCAGCCUAAUCAGCAAGACUAAUGUUACAACACCAGUAGUGUCCCACUUCUGAACGGAGUCACUUUCCAAGCUACAUUGUCUGUAAUGGAAAAUUAGAUUCUUAGCUCGUGGUUAGAUACUUAUGUUUAGAUACAGCAAUUCAGGUGUUCUAAGUUUGAGUGAAAUCCCAAUUAAUGUGUCACGUAGCUCAUUAUUUUGAUUUUUGGGGCUUGUGCUUGUACACAGAGCAACAUCCUUAACAAAAAUUCAUCAGGUAGCUGUGGGCGGACUUUCAAAAUAUUUAAUAAUAUAGUCCUGAUACUUGUUUGCGUGGGUGACACUAAUUGUAUGUAAGCACUGGUUUUGUGCCAGCUGCACAGGUUACUUUUUUCCUUUUGUUACCUUGACCCACUGUUUUUGCCAACUGCAUUGUUUUCCAUGGAUCUGCACUGCCACGUCCCCACAGAAUGUUGCGUAAGCAGUGAGUGGUUGCUUGUGUUCCCGUAGUUGGUGACAGUGAGACCAAAGGUGUAAAGCCAACCCAGGGAGGAGCUGGGUGAAUCCACUCAGAGGUGUUGGUACUCAUAAUCCUCCCAAGAAGGAUUUCUGUCUGGCUGUCCAAAGCUAAAGCCCUCAACCCUUGAAGCCUCAAAACAGUGACACAUAUCUUACGUAGCAUGGCUUAUGUUCCAGGAGCCAGCGUGGCAAAGACCAAAUACUUCCCCAGAGAAAUUGGGAAAUGCAGAUCUUUAGCAACACUGUUUUCUACAGUGCACUGAAUAACUGAAGGGGAUAUUGUAAGUAAACUAUUUGCACAGGUCUGCCUGGGCAUAGAAAGAUGGACUUGACACAGUAAAAAGCAGAAGAAUUUUAAUCAUCCAUUUCUCUUCACAUCUUCCUUUACUUAGCUUAUCCUGAAACUAGUAUGUGUCCUUCUCCACAAAAGAUUCACCAUCUCCUUUGAACCCUCUACCUGUUUUCCCCUUCUUUCAGAAGGUCUUGUUCCUACUGGAACAAGUUCACAUAUUUCUGCUAAGUACAAUCUCCAGAACUGCUUUUUCCUUGCUAGCUUUCUAGACCAGCUUGCUGGAUUUUAGGAUUGGAAAAUGAUACUUACAGAAUCAAGGUGGCAUGCCAGCAGUAGCAGGUACUCGUGACUGUUUAAAACUUAAAAGUGAAGGUAAGAAUUAAGAUUGUGUUCAGGAGCACAGAAAUCUGAAGAGAUGGUUAAAAUUACUGCAGUUCAAGACAGGGUUUUGUUUUCAGCUUUUCCUUUGUUGAAUACAGCAAAUCUCUUGCAAAUAUGUUGUGGCAAUUUUCUUUCCUUGUUUAGCAGUACACAUACCAGUAAUUCUGUUGGAUUCAGUGUUUCUUGUGCUAUUUAUUUUGCCAAGUGGCUUAAGGUUUUUCUUACUAAAUGAGGAGGGGGUUUAGAACAAAUAUUAAGACAACCUUAGCUAAAUCUUCAUGAUAAAUUUGGCUGUGCUGCCAAAAUAGCUUCUUCGUUGUGGACUAAUUUUUCAUCCCCACUCCCUGUCAUUCUUUCCUAUAGUUUCACAUUAGAGAAUCCUCCUGUCACAAGGGAAGCUUGUGUGAGAGCUGACUCUCCAGAGCCUAUUCCAAGUCUGAAAACAGACAGUGCUGUCAAGUACAGGACAGAUUCUAUUAAGUAGAGAAGACUUUACACUGCCAAGUGGAUCUUGACACAAGAGAAUUUGACCUUACACAUACAAGUUGCAACUCUGUUUCUGAAAUAAAUCUAUGUGACAGUUUUUGGGUUUUGCCUUGUUCAAACGUGCAACUAUUUGGUCCACAGAAUAACACAGUUUAAGUAUAGGAACACCAUUUGCUAAUGUCAAAACAUUGUUUGUGCACAACUUAAUCUCCUGUGAUGGUGUAUUUAUUUGCUGUAUACUUGCUUGAGUUAUUUUCAUCAAGAAAUUCUGUCUAUGUGUUGCUUUGGCAACAUCUUUGCAGAGUUUACAACUUUGAAAAACAUGUUGGCAUCAGCUAUGCAGUCCUUUUAAACAGCUGCUCUGCAGUCAUGCUGUUUCAACAUGCCACCACACAUGGCUGAAUUAUGCAAAUAGUUAAUAUUAAAUGACUGAGAUACAAGAACAAUUUGUACACUCGAUAAAGCUGGUCUGUGGAGUGUAACUUCCAUUCAUGUAACUCAGUUAGUGUUCGACAAUUUAAAGGCUUCAGCAUGUUUCUUUUGACUUUGUUUUUUGUAUUAAAGGCAGCAGUGGACAGAGAGAAGGUAUAUGGCAGGAGUAUUUUAAAAGGCUGACUUUUUUUUAAAACUCAUUACCAGUAAUUCAGUGAAAAUAGAAUGUACAUCAAUGUAAUUUUCCAGCAGGUAUUAAAUAGGAACUAGCCACAAUGAAGCAGAUUAUUUUUACUCUACAUAGUAAAUGCUGUGAACAAAAUCUACCUCGGUCUCAUAUUGAUGUAAAAAGUGCAACUGGAAAACAGUCAAUUCCUUUGGUAAAACUGCUGCCAGA